rnacentral:ncRNA from 1 species
CUCUCUGGAGAAGCCCGUGAAGGACGGGGGCCGAAGGUGCAAGCCGGGAAACCGGUCAAUCUCUCAGGCAAAAGGACAGAGCUU